CCUACGGGAGGCAGCAGUGAGGAAUAUUGGUCAAUGGGCGAGAGCCUGAACCAGCCAAGUCGCGUGAAGGAUGACUGCCCUAUGGGUUGUAAACUUCUUUUAUAUGGGAAUAAAACAGGGUAUGUAUACCCUCUUGUAUGUACCAUAUGAAUAAGGAUCGGCUAACUCCGUGCCAGCAGCCGCGGUAAUACGGAGGGUCCGAGCGUUAUCCGGAUUUAUUUGGGUUAAAGGGAGCGUAGGUGGAUUGUUAAGUCAGUUGUGAAAGUUUGCGGCUCAACCGUAAAAUUGCAGUUGAAACUGGCAGUCUUGAGUACAGGAGAGGUGGGCGGAAUUCGUGGUGUAGCGGUGAAAUGCUUAGAUAUCACGAAGAACUCCGAUUGCGAAGGCAGCUCACUGGACUGCAACUGACACUGAUGCUCGAAAGUGUGGGUAUCAAACAGGAUUAGAUACCCCUGUAGUC
rnacentral:rRNA from 1 species